CAACCCGAAGGCCAUGGAGGCUGAAGAGACAAUGGAAUGCCUUCAGGAGUUUCCUGAACAUCAUAAAAUGAUUCUGGACCGAUUGAAUGAACAACGAGAGCAGGAUCGAUUUACCGAUAUCACACUAAUAGUCGAUGGACAUCAUUUUAAGGCCCAUAAGGCUGUUUUGGCUGCUUGCAGUAAGUUCUUCUACAAAUUCUUUCAGGAGUUUACUCAGGAACCUUUGGUGGAGAUAGAAGGUGUUAGUAAAAUGGCCUUUCGUCAUUUAAUUGAGUUCACAUACACAGCAAAACUAAUGAUACAAGGAGAAGAAGAAGCCAAUGACGUAUGGAAAGCAGCAGAAUUUCUACAAAUGCUAGAAGCUAUUAAAGCCCUUGAAGUCAGAAACAAAGAAAAUUCAGCUCCAUUAGAGGAAAAUACCACAGGAAAAAAUGAGGCAAAAAAAAAAGAAAGAUUGCAGAAACUUCAAAUGUUAUCACUGAGUCAUUGCCAUCUGCAGAAUCAGAGCCUGUUGAAAUUGAGGUGGAGAUUGCUGAAGGCAUAAUUGAAGUGUAAGAUGAAGGCAUGGAAACAUUAGAGGAAGUGGCUUCUGCCAAGCAGUCCAUAAAGUACAUACAGAGCACAGGUUCCUCUGAUGAUUCUGCUUUAGCAUUGUUGGCAGAUAUUACCAGCAAGUACCGACAAGGUGAUAAAAAAGGGCAGAAGAAGAUGGCUGUGCAUCUGACCCCAUAAGCAAACAGGAACACAUGAAAUCACACUCCACUGAGAGUUUCAAGUGUGAAAUAUGCAAUAAAAGGUACCUUCGGGAGAGCGCACGGAAACAGCACCUAAAUUGUUACCACCUUGAAGAAGGUGGAGUGAGUAAGAAGCAAAGAACUGGGAAAAAAAUUCAUAUAUGUCAGUACUGUGAGAAACAGUUUGACCACUUUGGACAUUUUAAAGAGCAUCUUUGAAAACAUACAGGUGAAAAACCUUUUGAGUGUCCAAAUUGUCAUGAACGAUUUGCUAGAAAUAGUACUCUCAAAUGUCAUCUCACUGCAUGCCAAACUGGAGUGGGGGCAAAAAAGGGAAGGAAGAAGCUGUAUGAAUGCCAGGUAUGUAACAGUGUGUUUAACAGCUGGGAACAGUUCAAAGAUCACUUGGUAAUACACACUGGAGAUAAACCCAACCAUUGUACUUUAUGUGACUUGUGGUUUAUGCAAGGAAAUGAAUUAAGGAGGCAUCUCAGUGAUACUCGUAAUAUUUCAGAGCGUCUAGUAACUGAAGAAGUCCUUUCAGUAGAAACACGUGUGCAAACUGAACCAGUGACAUCAAUUGGGAAGGUGCAUGUGUUACCAUUACUUCAGGUCCAGGUGGAUUCAGCACAAGUGACUGUGGAACAAGUCCAUCCAGAUCUGCUUCAGGACAGCCAAGUGCAUGAUUCACACAUGAGUGAGCUUCCAGAGCAGGUCCAAGUCAGUUAUCUAGAAGUGGGUCGAAUUCAGACUGAAGAAGGUACUGAAGUACACGUAGAGGAGCUGCAUGUUGAACGGGUAAAUCAGAUGCCAGUGGAAGUACAAACUGAGCUUCUAGAAGCGGACUUGGAUCACGUGACCCCUGAAAUCAUGAGCCAAGAGGAGAGAGAGCCUAACCAAGCAGAUGCUGCUGAGGCUGCCAGGGAAGAUCACAGAGGUGCUGAGGGUUUAAAGACCAAACCAGCAGUGGAUUCCCAAGUUGAAAAGGCAGAGAAUGAUGACAGAACAGCUAUGCCAGUUUUAGAUUGAAAUAACGAAUAUAUUUUUUAAUUUACACGUUGGGUUUUUUAACUGAUUAUGGGC